rnacentral:rRNA from 1 species
GUCCUCUUGAGUAUUAUUUGAGGUCUGAUCUGCUCAAUGAGAAGUUAAAUUGCCGCGGUAUUUUGACCGUGCGAAGGUAGCAUAAUAAUUAGUUUUUUUAUUGGAAGCUGGAAUGAAUGAUUGGACGAGGGAGCAGCUGUCUACUGUUGGAUUUUUUUUUGAAUUUAACUUUUGAGUUAAAAGGCUCAGAUGAUUUUAAAAGACGAGAAGACCCUAUAGAGUUUAACAUUUUUUUUAUUUGAUAGGUUUUUGGUAUUUAUCAUUUUCAUUUUUAUUGGUGUUUGGUUGGGGUGACUGGAAGAUUUAAUAAACUCUUCUAAUUUAUUGUUACUUAUUAGUAAGUUCUUAAUCUGGAUUUUUCAAGAUUAAUGAAAAUUACCUUAGGGAUAACAGCGUAAUUUCUUUUUAGAGUUCUUAUUGGAAGAGAAGUUUGCGACCUCGAUGUUGGAUUAAAAUUUAUUUUUGGCGCAGUAGCUGAAUUAUUAGGUCUGUUCGACCUUUAAAAUUUUACA